rnacentral:misc_RNA from 1 species
GAUGAAGAACGUAGCGAAAUGUGAUAAGUAAUGUGAAUUGCAGAAUUCAGUGAAUCAUCGAAUCUUUGAACGCACCUUGCGCUCCUUGGUAUUCCGAGGAGCAUGCCUGUUUGAGUGUCAUUAAUAUAUCAACCUCUUCAGCUUAUGCUUGUUGAGUGUUGGAUGGUGGGGGUUUGCUGGUGUCUUAUGAAGUCAGCUCCUCUGAAAUGCAUUAGCGGAACAAUUUGUUGACCGUUCAUUGGUGUGAUAAAAAUAUCUACGCUAUUGACGUCAGUCAGUUCAGCUUCUAACAGUCCAUUGACUUGGACAAAUUUUUCAUUAAUGUGACCUCAAAUCAGGUAGGACUACCCGCUGAACUUAAGCAUAUCAAUAAGCGGAGGA